UCUCACGCCUGAGCUAUCUCCCGACGGUCCAGCCGUCAAGCUUGUGGUGUUUAUCGUGUUUACUGUGCAGGAUCAGGACGUCUUACGUGAUUGAGACGUUGGAGAAGAUCUUAGCGUUAACAGUAAUAAUUACUCCUAAAAAACAUUAGCCCACUCCCAACAUGAGCUUGCUUAUAUGCUUCCAGUUAAUGCUUUCAGCUUUGUUCCAGCACUAACAAUUUGUUUUGUUUGCCCCAACCAACCCCGAUAUCUA
rnacentral:lncRNA from 1 species